ensembl:lncRNA
AAACAAGUGAGUGUUUGGUGUGAGUCCGUUUUAUCUUCUUGAUGGCGCUGUGAGCUGUUGACUUUGUCCUGGAGGUUGUGUCAUUUUCUUUUGGGAUCAGUGGUACGCGUCUUUGCCUUGUCGCAGUACCUUCCCAAGCCUCUGCUGGGGGUGAACGGUACACUCUUAGGUGAGAAGGUUACGGGGAACUCAUUAUUGGUUCUGAGCCUCUCCUCUUCUGGAAAUUAAUAUUCUUGUGAAAAUGGUUAAGUAGGUGUUAGCCAAGCUCUUGUAGGAAUACUUGGGAAGGCGCCACCCGCCUUGAAUGCCAGCAUUAUUUUCCCCAGUCCUUUCUUAAGCUGCUCUUGAAUAAUUCUGUUUGUGGGAAUUUACUUAUGGACGUACCUUUGCUCUGCUUUCUGGGAGUGUGUGUUCAGAAGGAGUAUUCCGUGUGGGGCCACAGUCCGAGAAGAGGCAAGAUACGAUACUUGGCAGCACAUCAACAAGUCUCUCACAGGAGUCCCCUGCGGGAGGCCGGCCAAGGAUCUCACGUUGUCCCUGCAGCGGCUCGGUUUUGAUCCCUGGCCCAGGAGCUUCCGCCUGCCGUGGUGUGGCCCCCAGUCAGUCUCUCACAGACCUUGCUCCUUAGGCUGUCUCCCUCAACCAGAAAGGGCAGGCGGUUUCACAGAAGGAGAAACCAGGGGCCCAGGAGCUGACAUGACCCCGGGCCCUUGAGUGUGCCCAGAGUGACCGGCUGCCACCCUGGUGGGCAUGGUUGCCUUCGCCUUGGGCGUAGCUGGCCAGCAGGAGUCUCGUGGCAGCGUGGCCUCCCAAGGGAGGGGUUUGCUGUCUGGCCGGGCUCGCGAGGCUGGGAUGAGCGGCUGGGGAGCCCGUUCACAAGUGACAGGACAAAUCUGGCAGCGAGGCGUUUCCUUGCCAGCGUUAAUCGAGACACGCAGCACGGCUCGUUUCCCCUUGGGACAGAAAUGUAACGCGCUCUGUUCGGAGGGAGGUCACUGGAGGUGGUGCGAGCCAGUGGCUGAAGGUAUUCGCACGCAGAUAAUCAAAUUCUCCGGCGUGGCCAAGGACCCAGCUUCAUGUGGAGUUGCUGCUCGUGUUUUUUUAGCGACCGAGGCUUGUCUUCCUGUCUUUGCACCCUCGCUCCCGGCUUCUGAUUUGUAACUGACAGGAAUGGAAGCGAAGCAGGGUGUCCGCAGUGUCCAGCACUGCAGGAUGCACGGAAGGGCUCUUGGACCAGGGAUCCAGAAGAACCUCUGUGUUCGGGUCUCGGUGCUUGAGUCGGUUGCCUCCUGGUUCAGAGAGGGCAGCCCCUGUGCACGUCAGCGGCGGAGGUAGCUCCUUCCUGGCGGUGUGGAGAGCGCCCCGCGAGGUGUUGGUGGGUUUUGCUUGAUGCAUUGCCGCCGCGGUCCUCGCUGGAGCCUGGGGCCUCUGGCUCUCCUGCGACCCCCGCUCUCCACUUGUGCAAGGUGCCCUGGUCGGGCCUUGGGGCCUUUCCAGCUCCGACCUGCCAGGGCUCCCGGAGGCGGCCGACCUUCUGGGAUUGUUGUGCUUGGAAUGACGGUCAGGGUCUGGGCGAGGACAGACGGCCGUUUGAUUCGGACCUGCUUUUUUUAAACAGACCACUACGUACACCCGACGGGGCCACGGGACGUGCACCAGCCCAGGCUGCUCCUUUACCUAUGUCACCAGGCACAAGCCACCCACGUGCCCCGCCUGCGGUAACUUCCUCGGAGGAAAGUGGACCCCGAAGGUAAGGCCCUGGGCCGUCGCGGCUUUGGGGGCCCCGCCCGAGGCCAGAUGACUAGGUCAGAACGCAUCAAGUUUUCUGGUGGCCCACGUAAGUCAGCUGCUCAGUCACUUAAGAGCAAGCGAAGUGUCACCCACAGUCUCCUACCGUCCAGAGUUGCCUUUUCAGAGUGUUUCCUUGCAGUCUUUCUCUGAGUGUCUAAGUUCUGUAUCUUCCCUUUUUUCAUUGAACGUAUCGUGCCGUUAAAUAUCCUUUGCAGGAGUUCCCGUCGUGGCGCAGUGGGAACGAAUCUGACUGGGAACCAUGAGGUUGUGGGUUCGAUCCCUGGCCUCGCUCAGUGGGUUAAGGAUCCUGCGUUGCUGUGACUGUGGGGUAGGCUGGCAGCUACAGUUCCGAUUAGACCGCUAGCCUGAGAACCUCCACGUGAGGCCCUAAGAAGACAAAAAGACAAAAAAAUAGUAGUGACAUCCUUUACAGAGCUCCUCGUUCCCUAGGUUUCCUGAGAGCGACUGCCCCGGGUUGAUGUGUCCAUUUCCGGUCGGGGUUAAACUGCCAGCCGUCCUCCCUCCACACCGACUGCUUGGUCACCCACACGCACAGCGCUCACCGCGUUCCGAAGCCCCAAACCCUUGCUGAGUCGCCUGUGGCUCCUGUAACAGGCGGAGCGUCCUUGGGGUCUCUCGGUGGCUUAGCGGGUUAAGGGUGCAGCGUUGUGAUCACAGCUGCAGCGAGGGUUCAUUCACAGGCCUGGGAAUUUCUGGAUGCUCUGGGUGCGGCUCCCCCCGCCCCCCAAAAACCACACUGGGGCCCCUUGAUCUCCGCCUUUGCAAGCAGCUGAUACUCAGUAAGCAAGUGAGCCUUGGUGCCUCGGCCCGGCCGGCACGUGGGCUCAGUCCCCGCUCGUCCGCUGGGCGCUGACUCCAUCCCACACACUUGUUGCGCGCUUGCUGUGAGCCUCUACGCUAUUUAGGGCAGAGGGGCUGGGUAGUCGGGGGGGUUUUACGGGGAGAUGGUCCGGAGAGGUCAGUGGAAUUUGGGUCGGUCCUAAGGGACAGAGAAGCUGCUGUUUUUGUGAAAAUAACCUUGGCUAAGAUUGUGUCAUGGUUUUAAUUUGCGGUCCGAACUUAUUUGCGCGGAGACUUAAGUAGCUGCGUACCUGUCGGGUCUGGGGCAGUUUCCACAGAACGUCUCUGAGGAAUGAGCCCAGGCAGCACUUCUCCCUCUGACCGAGUGCUGGCGCUGAGGAUAUCACCAAUUUUGGAGGCAGAGUAAGUUAACAAUUAAGAAUUCAGCUCUAGGAGUUCCCAUCGUGGCGCAGCAGUUACCGAACCUGACUAGGAUCCAUGAGGAUGCGGGUUCGAUCCCAGGCCUUCUUCAGUGGGUUAGGGAUCCCGCGUUGCUGUGGCCGUGGUGUAGGCCGGCGGCAGGAUCCAUGAGGACGCUCCGAUUUGAGCCCUGGCCUGGGAACCUCGGUGGGCGGCAGGGGCGGCCCGGGCGGCCCGGAGUCGGUUCCCUUGGUGCGGACCCUGCUUCCCAGGUGUCGAGCGUUGUCGCCGUGGGCCGGGCCGGGCCGUUGGAGUGGCUCUUGCGUGUAGAUGGUGGUCGGAGGGAGUGCCGCCUCCCUCGUUGGAGUCGCUAGGGGGCGGCUGCAGUGAACCGGAGCUGGACGGCCUGUCCUCGGGGUUGUACCUACAGUCCCCAGUGGGGUCCACGGCCCCUGUGUGGGCAGCAGGGCACUGCUGUCUCUGCUCCUGUGGGCAGUGCGAGCACCCCAAGGGGCAGGAGGUGCCGAGCGCCCGUGCGGAGUUUCUUGUGGGCCGCCGUGAAGCCGUCUGGCUUAUUCCAGCCUAGUACCUCUACCCACUUGGGCGUCCCCGGCCACAGGAGGGGGAUGGGACCGGGUGGUGGUCGGGCCUUGCUUCUCGCUCCUGACGCUCAGCGGCGCUGUCCGGGGACCUCCUUCCCUGGUUUGCGGGACAGAGGCGAGCCGAGCGGGGCCUGGGCUCCCGCAGAUUCUCUGUCUACUUGGCGUCUCGCCUCUUUUGUUGUGUGUCUUUUCCCCCUUCGAGGGCAAUAACUUUCAGCCGUGCUCUUUCUGAGGUCAGCCUCGUGACAGGAGAACAGUUGUUCCUUCUCUGCUUGUCUCCAAUCUUGACUUGCUGAGUCAGACCUUCUUCCCAAAGGUUUUUGCAAGAAUUACCAUGUAAAGAGCAGGCGAGUGUGGCCGCUAAACCCCAUGGAAGCACAACAAGCGAGUGUGGGGAGAGGGGUAACACGGCUGCACGGGGCCUGCGCCUUUCAGCGAUGACGGGGCUGCUCGGCGGCGAGGCCAACUCCCCUGUUUCCAGCUGAGGGAAACGAGGCUGGCGAGGGCAGCGACGUGCCAAGGUCACCGCACCCGGUGCGCGGCCCUCCUCCGCUAGCCGCGCCUCCUGGGCAUCCCGCGCUGUUCAGCUGCAGCAUCUGAGGCUGGAAGGAACGAGGAUAAGUGUCUCUAAAAGCUCCAGAUGCGUCCUGCCAGUCAGGAAGUGACUCACCUUUGCUGACGUUGUUCGGGAGCUCAGACUGGCUAAAAUGAGCCCCAGGAACGUGGGGCACAGCGCCUGGUGGGUGGAGGGGGCAGAAGAUGGUACAGGAGGCUGUUUAGCGCACGGCCUGGGUCCUGCGGGCUCUCUGACAGCAGAGCUUGAGGCCUCU